rnacentral:lncRNA from 1 species
AUGUUCAGAAAAUAUUUCUAGACUAAAUUUUAUCUCAUUCAUUGUGUGUAAAAAUACAUAAGCACUUUUGCAGAAUGAGUUAUCAAGAAGCACUGAUUUUCUAAUGUUUUGCUUAUUGUUUUUUCAGAGCACUACAGUGAUUUGCACAGGCCAAGAUGUCUCAAGUUGUACAUUCAAACAGAAGUGAUGGGUGACAGGCUUUUACGCAACUUGUGAAGAAAAAUCAGGUAGCUAGAGCAGAGACCAGAUGCUGUGAUUGAUGCAAACAGAGAUAGACGUUUUACAAUUGAAAUGAUAGACUCUGAUAUUUGCAUGUAUUGUUUUGCAUGAUGAACCUUGCCCGUACAAGUGGCUAUGCCCGUAAAAGAGGCACACUUUUGCUUAUUGUGUUUGUUGUAUUUCAAUAUAAAAAGUAAUGGUAAAGGUCUCCGAGAUGAAGGUUUAGUGUUGUUGUCUGUAUUAUGAGUCCAAUAGCCUGUCCUGUCUGUCCGCAAUUAAGUCUUUGUCAGCUUGUUUUCUAAGUAUGCUAUCCAAAUGAAAUGUUAAGAGACACUGGCAUUCACCAGUGUGAGUAAACAUGUUCACUCAUGCUGGUAGUGCCCUUGUGUAUUAAGUGUACUUGGUAGGCAAGUGUGGUCUAUCACAUCUCGGAGAUACAUAUAAUUAGAUCAAGUAAGGGUCGUUGACAAAGAUAAAAUGAGACGUGUUAUACUAUUUAACUAUACUUCUGAGAUACUCAGUAAGGUAGAUGCUCCUUCAAAAUUUCAACACUUUGAACAACAAAACUUGAUUUCUGACUGAUCAUUUUUCUUGAACGUCUCAUUUUAUCUUUGUCACCAAGCCCUUCAUAUAUCCAACCGCAGGCUACUGCAUCGAAAUUGCAGUCAAAUCUCUGGUACUCUUGGUAUUGAAAAUAUAUAGCACUAACAAAGUAUAGUCUCAAUGCGAUAACUUGAACAUUAUGUAAAACCAUUACAAAAUCCUAGAGAUGUCUCUUAUCAAACUAUCAAGUAAGCUGUAAUGCAAAAUCAUUACAAGACUAGUAUCAAGCUAUCGGAAUGUCAAAACAUGACCAUAAGGCUAUAUCAGAGAUUUGAAAUGCUUUUCGAUGCAAUAGUAUGAUGUUGGAAUUUUAUCCUACAUCCAACUGUAAUCCUACAUGUUGGUAUAAUUGUAUCCUAGUCCUUACCUGAUGUUGAGCAUUUUUUCCUCCCUUAUUUGGAUUUCUGAUCGGCAUGGGUUAAGUGUUAAUGCUGGUUAUCAUGACCCGACUCUAUAUUUGGCGAGGCAGCGAAGCCGGUAUAGGGAAUUGCUUAACCCGACGCUGCGAGGAUUCAUGGACAGGGAUUAAAUGCUCUUGCCCCGCCAAAGGGAAGCACGACGUUCCUCUAAUGAGAUGUGCGAAUACACUCUUUGGUUGCCUAACUGUCCGGACGCCGCAGUUAGAUGUACGGGGAAGG